rnacentral:rRNA from 1 species
UGGGGAAUAUUGGACAAUGGGCGAAAGCCUGAUCCAGCCAUGCCGCGUGUGUGAAGAAGGUCUUCGGAUUGUAAAGCACUUUAAGUUGGGAGGAAGGGCAGUAAGCGAAUACCUUGCUGUUUUGACGUUACCGACAGAAUAAGCACCGGCUAACUCUGUGCCAGCAGCCGCGGUAAUACAGAGGGUGCAAGCGUUAAUCGGAAUUACUGGGCGUAAAGCGCGCGUAGGUGGUUCGUUAAGUUGAAUGUGAAAGCCCCGGGCUCAACCUGGGAACUGCAUCCAAAACUGGCGAGCUAGAAUAGGGCAGAUGGUGGUGGAAUUUCCUGUGUAGCGGUGAACUGCGUAGAUAUAGGAAGGAACACCAGUGGCGAAUGCGACCACCUGGGCUCAUACUGACACUGAGGUGCGAAAGCGUGAGGAGCAAACAGG